rnacentral:rRNA from 1 species
UACGUAGGGGGCAAGCGUUGUCCGGAUUCAUUGGGCGUAAAGAGCGUGUAGGCGGCCAGGUAGGUCGGUUGUGAAAACUGGAGGCUCAACCUUCAGAGGUCGACCGAAACCAUCUGGCUAGAGUCCGGGAGAGGAGAGUGGAAUUCCUGGUGUGAGCGGUGAAAUGCGCAGAUAUCAGGAAGAACACCCGUGGCGAAAGCGGCUCUCUGGAACGGUACUGACGCUGAGACGCGAAAGCGUGGGGAGCAAACAGG